ensembl:lncRNA
UGUGUGUGUGUGUGUGUGUGUAUUGUGAGUGUGUGUCGGGCGUGACUGUGGGUGUUACACACACUGUGGGAAGAUUCCUCAGAUGCCCAGUUUGAUUAAAACUCAGGAUUCCACCACACACACAAACACCUGACAGGCGCUGACAGGCAGUCAGUCUUCUCCACACCCUUUCCUGUGCUCCUGCGCGCUGAAAUGGGUUCACUCCAUGGGUUGAAUAUCAUGACUUGGCCACAGUCCCAGUGGCCGAGUGCUGCAACAGUAAGAGCCAUCCAGGAUGAUGAUCCAGAAGUGAGAAAUGAGAUUACUGCUAAUACGAUUAUGGUAAAAACAGACGAAUGUCCAACCAGCAAACUUCUGAAUUAUUUCUCCAAAUGGGUAACUCUCAAAAGAAUUGUUGAGGUUUGUGUCUUCAUUGUGCACGUGCCGGGGGUUAAUGACACAGGAGCCUGCUUGUGUGAGAAGGAGGCGAUUUUCUCAGCUCCUUCAGAAGAGAGGGAAAAACGGUUCAGUCAAAACUCAAACCAACUUUGAAGUUGUCUGAUUUGGAGAGUCAUCAUUCUUGGUUAUUGUAGAAGCCAUUGAUGAAGAACAGGCAGUGACUGGGAUGAAUGCUGGUCAAAGAAUAUAAUGUCCUUUCCCCCAAACUGAUGCAAUAGUGAUUUUAAUAUUGCUCUGUAUAAUGUAAAAGAUGUUACAUGCCUUUGCUGUGCUGAUGGGGCUUCUUCAUGACUACAUCAAUUAUCCUAAAGAGAUCAUGAAAAUUGACAGUGAUGCAGGACCUGUAUAUUUAUGGACUAUGAAACAAACUGUAAGUGUAUAGUUUGUAAAAACAAAAUAUUAAAUGAUUGUUCUGUUUAGUAGAAAUGGAGUUUACACUCUGUCAUUAAUUCACAUGCUCACAUUCUUUCACACAUAUGUUUCUAAUAAAUGUUAUACAAUCAGUCUUAAUGUUGUGGUUUAUUUACUGCCAUGCCAG